rnacentral:rRNA from 1 species
UACAGAGGGUGCGAGCGUUAAUCGGAAUUACUGGGCGUAAAGCGCACGUAGUCGGCUUUGCAAGUCGGGUGUGAAAUCCCCGGGCUCAACCUGGGAACUGCAUCCGAGACUGCAGUUGCUUGGAGGCGGGAGAGGUGAGUGGAAUUCCCAGUGUAGCGGUGAAAUGCGUAGAUAUUGGGAGGAACACCAGUGGCGAAGGCGGCUC